GACGAACGCUGGCGGCGUGCUUAACACAUGCAAGUCGAACGGUAAGGCUCCAGCUUGCUGGGGUACACGAGUGGCGAACGGGUGAGUAACACGUGGGUGACCUGCCCUUCACUUCGGGAUAAGCCUGGGAAACUGGGUCUAAUACCGGAUAGGACCAUGGUGUGGAUACUGUGGUGGAAAGUUUUUUCGGUGUGGGAUGGGCCCGCGGCCUAUCAGCUUGUUGGUGGGGUAAUGGCCUACCAAGGCGGCGACGGGUAGCCGGCCUGAGAGGGUGGACGGCCACAUUGGGACUGAGACACGGCCCAGACUCCUACGGGAGGCAGCAGUGGGGAAUAUUGCACAAUGGGCGGAAGCCUGAUGCAGCGACGCCGCGUGGGGGAUGACGGCCUUCGGGUUGUAAACUGCUUUCGCCAUCGACGAAGGGUUUCUGACGGUAGAUGGAGAAGAAGCACCGGCUAACUACGUG
rnacentral:rRNA from 1 species